rnacentral:lncRNA from 13 species
CCCAGCACUUUGGGAGGCCGAGGUGGGUGGCUUUUCUGAGGUCAGUAGUUUGAGAUCAGCCUGACCAGCGUGGAGAAACCCCGUGUCUACUAAUUAGCCGGGCGUGGUGGCGCAUGCGUACAAGAGGCGUAAUCCCAGCUACACGGGAGGCAUAGGUAGGAGAGAAUUGCUUGAACCUGGGAGCCAGAGGUUGCAGUGAGCCGAGGUCACGCCAUUGCACUACACCUGGGCAACAAGAGCGAAACUCCAUCUCAAAAAAAAAAUAAAAAUAUUUUGUAUUAAGCCACUCAGCAACUACUUAGGAAUCAUAUUUUUAAAACGUAUUUUAUUAACCAGAGUCCAACUCUAUCUGUGAGCUCCACUAUUCAUAAGGAUCAUCACAAAUCGGUUGUUCAAUGCUGUAUUAAUUCCUACUAUAUAUUCUCAUGGCUAAAUCUAGAAAAAUAAAGACCUGCGCAUUUUUUAAAAAGAGAGUGUAAAAAUUCUUGAGUGCUAGAGUGACAUAGAGUUAAAGGGACCCGAGAAAUGCGUCUACUGACUUCAUGUCUUAAACAUCCAAAAUCUCACAGCUCAAAGUUUCAUUUUCACCACAUAUUUUGGCAGCUUCUAAGACAACCCCAAAUAGUUACAUUGUUUUCUUUGGGCUGUUGGAAUAAGGGUCUAUAUAUUCCUUAUACAAACCUAAGACAGUUUGAGUCUUCACAAAUCAAAUCAUUGAGACUACACACCCACACAGAAGCUAUAAUGAAAAGAGUUUAUAAAUAAAAGGGUGUUUUUUUUUUUAACCACCUACUCUCCAAAACCAUCAUAUUCCUCUGGGAGGAAGUAUUAAGGAAAGAAAAUAGAGAGAAAAUGGCUCUGUGUGUGUGUGUGUGUCUGAGAGAGAGAGGGAGGGAGAGAGAAAGUGUGUGUGUGUGUGUGUGUGUGUGUGUGUGUGUGUGUGUGUAUACAAAUAUAUACAUUUUUAUGUAUAUAUAUAUAUAUAAAUAUAUUUCCAUUCCAAAAAUAAAUCUCCCAGCCACCCACACAGGGAUCACAUCUGUCUUCUUCCCCACUCUCUCAAAUAGCUUUGCUCGGUCCUCUUCUCUUGACAUUUCCCCUCCUUUCCUCCAUUUUCCAUCUUCUACCCCCUUUCUUCUCAUCUCCUCGUGUCUUCCCUCUCCUCUCUGCAGCCAAAGUUUCUACUUUCCACAUCUAUCUUUGCUUAAUUAUCUAAUAUGUUUAUACAGACACCUGCAGAAAUUUCCAGAACCCUCACUACACACACACACACACACACACACACACACGCACACACAGGAAAAAGAAAAAAAAUAAGAAAGAAAGAACUUCAAAAAUGAAAAGACAGCACUAGGGCAAAAGAAGGGUGACUGCCUGUUAUGGAGAAUAACUGCAAAUAGGACUUUGAGCCUAUGCAAUCAAAUUGCCCUCUGCUGAGUUCUGCCAGCUAGUUUGAGGGACUGGAAAGUUACAGAAAAAGCCCUGCGUGCAGUCAGAAAUAGUUUAAAACUUGGAAACUCAAAGGACAGAAAUGGUAUCCCAGAAUAACGAAGGCCAACCCAGCUAUAUAAAUAAAUAAGUGAACAAGCAUGGUGAGAGGGAAAAU